AUUGAACGCUGGCGGCAGGCUUAACACAUGCAAGUCGAGCGGUAGCACAGGGGAGCUUGCUCCCUGGGUGACGAGCGGCGGACGGGUGAGUAAUGUCUGGGAAACUGCCUGAUGGAGGGGGAUAACUACUGGAAACGGUAGCUAAUACCGCAUAACGUCGCAAGACCAAAGAGGGGGACCUUCGGGCCUCUUGCCAUCAGAUGUGCCCAGAUGGGAUUAGCUAGUAGGUGGGGUAAUGGCUCACCUAGGCGACGAUCCCUAGCUGGUCUGAGAGGAUGACCCGCCAAACUGGAACUGAGGCACGGUCCCGACUCCUACGGGAGGCAGCAGUGGGGAAUUUUGCACAAUGGGGGGAAGCCUGAUGGAGCCAUGGCGCGGGUGUGAAGAAGGCCCUCGGGUUGUAAAGCACUUUCAGCGAGGAGGAAGGUGGUGAGCUUAAUACGUUCAUCAAUUGACGUUACUCGCAGAAGAAGCACCGGCUAACUCCGUG
rnacentral:rRNA from 1 species